UACGUAGGGCGCAAGCGUUGUCCGGAAUUAUUGGGCGUAAAGAGCUCGUAGGCGGCUUGUCACGUCGAUUGUGAAAGCCCGAGGCUUAACCUCGGGUCUGCAGUCGAUACGGGCUAGCUAGAGUGUGGUAGGGGAGAUCGGAAUUCCUGGUGUAGCGGUGAAAUGCGCAGAUAUCAGGAGGAACACCGGUGGCGAAGGCGGAUCUCUGGGCCAUUACUGACGCUGAGGAGCGAAAGCGUGGGGAGCGAAC
rnacentral:rRNA from 2 species